AGCCAUAUCACGUUGAAACACUGGUUCCCAUCAGUAAAGUUAGGCAAAGUCGAACUUAGUCAGUACCUAGAUGGGUGACCGCUUGGGAAUACCAGGUGCUGUAAG